UAACACGUGAGCAACCUGCCUUUCNNAGGGGGAUAACAGUUGGAAACGACUGCUAAUACCGCAUAACGCUGCGAUGGGGCAUCCCGAUGCAGCCAAAGGAGCAAUCCGCUGAAAGAUGGGCUCGCGGCCGAUUAGCUAGUUGGUGGGGCAACGGCCCNCCAAGGCGACGAUCGGUAGCCGGACUGAGAGGUUGAUCGGCCACNUUGGGACUGAGACACGGCCCAGACUCCUACGGGAGGCAGCAGUGGGGGAUAUUGCACAAUGGAGGAAACUCUGAUGCANCGACGCCGCGUGAGGGAAGACGGUCUUCGGAUUGUAAACCUCUGUCUUUGGGGAAGAAAAUGACGGUACCCAAAGAGGAAGCUCCGGCUAACUACGUGNCAGCAGCCGCGGUAAUACGUAGGGAGCGAGCGUUGUCCGGAAUUACUGGGUGUAAAGGGAGCGUAGGCGGGCGAGAAAGUUGAAUGUUAAAUCUACCGGCUUAACUGGUAGCUGCGUUCANAACUUCUUGUCUUGAGUGAAGUAGAGGCAGGCGGAAUUCCUAGUGUAGCGGUGAAAUGCGUAGAUAUUAGGAGGAACANCAGUGGCGAAGGCGGCCUGCUGGGCUUUUAANUGACNCUGANGCUCGAAAGCGUGNGGAGCAAACAGGAUUAGAUACCCUGGUAGU
rnacentral:rRNA from 1 species